UAACAGGAAAUAGCUUGCUAUUUUGCUGACGAGUGGCGCACGGGUGCGUAACGCGUAUACAAUCUACCUUUUGCUGAGGGAUAGCCCAGAGAAAUUUGGAUUAAUACCUCAUGGUAUUAUUGAUAGGCAUCUAUUAAUAAUUAAAGGUUACGGCAAAAGAUGAGUAUGCGUCCCAUUAGCUAGUUGGCGAGGUAACGGCUCACCAGGGCAACGAUGGGUAGGGGUCCUGAGAGGGAGAUCCCCCACACUGGUAUUGAGACACGGACCAGACUCC
rnacentral:rRNA from 1 species